CGACCCCGUGAAGUUGGAGUCGCUAGUAAUCGCAGAUCAGCACUGCUGCGGUGAAUACGUUCCCGGGGCUUGUACACACCGCCCGUCACACCACGAAAGUGGGCAACACCCGAAGCCGGUGGCCUAACCCUUGUGGAGGGAGCCGUCGAAGGUGGGGCUCGCGAUUGGGGUGAAGUCGUAACAAGGUAGCCGUACCGGAAGGUGCGGCUGGAUCACCUCCUUUC
rnacentral:rRNA from 1 species